GGCCUAACACAUGCAAGUCGAGCGGUAGCACAGAGAGCUUGCUCUCGGGUGACGAGCGGCGGACGGGUGAGUAAUGUCUGGGAAACUGCCUGAUGGAGGGGGAUAACUACUGGAAACGGUAGCUAAUACCGCAUAACGUCGCAAGACCAAAGAGGGGGACCUUCGGGCCUCUUGCCAUCAGAUGUGCCCAGAUGGGAUUAGCUAGUAGGUGGGGUAAUGGCUCACCUAGGCAACGAUCCCUAGCUGGUCUGAGAGGAUGACCAGCCACACUGGAACUGAGACACGGUCCAGACUCCUACGGGAGGCAGCAGUGGGGAAUAUUGCACAAUGGGCGCAAGCCUGAUGCAGCCAUGCCGCGUGUAUGAAGAAGGCCUUCGGGUUGUAAAGUACUUUCAGCGAGGAGGAAGGCGUUAAGGUUAAUAACCUUAGCGAUUGACGUUACUCGCAGAA
rnacentral:rRNA from 1 species